CACGGACCGCACGAACGUUAUUCGGAAUUACUGGGCUUAAAGGGUGCGUAGGCUGCGCGGAAAGUUGGGUGUGAAAUCCCUCGGCUCAACCGAGGAACUGCGCCCAAAACUACCGUGCUCGAGGAAGAUAGAGGUGAGCGGAACUUACGGUGGAGCGGUGAAAUGCGUUGAUAUCGUAAGGAACACCCGUGGCGAAAGCGGCUCACUGGGUCUUUUCUGACGCUGAUGCACGAAAGCUAGGGGAGCAAACGGG
rnacentral:rRNA from 1 species